CCGUACAAUCUUUCAGGUAUACAACAUAUGUCUACAAGCCUCUAAGAGUACAUAAAUAUCAUAAAGGUCGGGACAGAGUCCCGCCAUACCAAAAAAUACACGUCUAAAUCAUACUAACCAAACAAGCAACUCCGAAGCAAAUGGAGCGCACCAACAUCUUCCGCUGAGCUGAUAGCCUACUUAGAGGGCUCUCGACCUGUCUAUCGGGACCUGCGGGCAUGAAACGCAUCGCCCCCAGGCAAAAAGGACGUUAAUACAAAUAAUGUACCGAGUAUGUAAGGUACAUAAAUAAGUACAUAAGAGACAUGGAAGAAAUAUAGAGUACAUGACUCAACCUGUAAGUCUGAAUAACUUUGUAAAUCAUAAAUUACUUUUAGCGUCAUGCAUAUGCGUAUGAAUUUCAUGUCGUGCAUAGGUACAUGUUUCAUAACAUCAUUAGCCUCUGAGGGCAUCUCAUCAUAUUGGCCAAUGUGUGCAAAAUCAUCAUCGUAUACCAGCUGAUCAGGUGAUGGUGCGUAUAUAAUGCCAAAACCUUUCCCAUAUCUCAUAUCCCAUAUACAUAUAUAUACAUACAUAUAUACGCAUAUAUAACGUCAUUUGAAUCAUAUUUCAGCCACUAUGGGCAACAUCAUUAUCAUAUACUAGCUGAUCAAGUGGUGGUACGUAUAUAACUCCGUAACCUUUUCCCAUAUCCCAUAUACAUAUAUUUACAUAUAUACGUGUAUAUAAUGCCAUCUGGUCAUGGGUCAAUGCACAUGUAUGAAAUGCAUGAAAAAUACGUAAUAAUCUCAAUAUUCCUUCUGGAUAAAUUUUUCCAAUUGCGUAUUAUUCUGAGACCCACGAGCAGAAGAUAAAAUAUUAUGACACACGAAAAUUCAAGAAUAUAGAUAUCUCUAAUACUUCUAUGAAUAGAGUCAUUCAUGGAAUUUAUGCAUUUGCACGUUUCGUUCGUAUCGUGUGGAUCAUGCCAAAAGAAAGAAGGGAUAGCCUUAACAUACCUGUUUCUUGAAUUAUUGGAACGAAUAAAGAAGGGAUAGCCUUAACAUACCUGUUUCUUGAAUUAUUGGAAUGAAUCUGCUUCUGCAAAAUUUACACUGGAUUUCCUUGAAAUUGGAACGAACUUGUUCUGCUUCUAACGUUUUUGUAUACUAAAAGCAAAGAUGGAUUUAAUCUCAAAUGUUGAACUUGAACGUUUGCUUCGGCUUCUAUUAUACUGUGAAUCAGAAUGGGUUUAAGCUAAAUUUUGUCCCAACGUUGUUUUGAAGUUUGAUAUGAAGCUUUUUUUCUCAUUUUCCAAUUUCAGAAGGGAUUAAAUCAAGUCCCUUUCCC
rnacentral:lncRNA from 1 species